GAUGAACGCUGGCGGCGUGCCUAAUACAUGCAAGUCGAGCGAACGGACGAGAAGCUUGCUUCUCUGAUGUUAGCGGCGGACGGGUGAGUAACACGUGGAUAACCUACCUAUAAGACUGGGAUAACUUCGGGAAACCGGAGCUAAUACCGGAUGAUAUUUUGAACCGCAUGGUUCAAAAGUGAAAGACGGUCUUGCUGUCACUUAUAGAUGGAUCCGCGCUGCAUUAGCUAGUUGGUAAGGUAAUGGCUACCAAGGCAACGAUGCAUAGCCGACCUGAGAGGGUGAUCGGCCACACUGGAACUGAGACACGGUCCAGACUCCUACGGGAGGCAGCAGUAGGGAAUCUUCCGCAAUGGGCGAAAGCCUGACGGAGCAACGCCGCGUGAGUGAUGAAGGUCUUCGGAUCGUAAAACUCUGUUAUUAGGGAAGAACAUAUGUGUAAGUAACUGUGCACAUCUUGACGGUACCUAAUCAGAAAGCCACGGCUAACUACGUG
rnacentral:rRNA from 1 species